GCCAGGUGUGGUGGCGUGUGCCUGUAGUCCCGGUUACUUGGGAGGCUGAGACAGGAGGAUCAUUUGAGCCCAGAAAGUCAAGGCUGCAGUGAGCCAUGAUGGCACCACUGCACUCCAGCCUGAGUGACAGAGUGAGACCCUGUCUCCC
rnacentral:sRNA from 1 species